CUAAGUACUACACUCUCUACCCUUUAUAAACUAUUAUACCUGUUGCUUCGGCGGCGCCCGCAAGGGUGCCCGCCGGUCUCAUCAGAAUCUCUAUUUUCGAACCCGACGAUACUUCUGAGUGUUCUUAGCGAACUAUCA
rnacentral:misc_RNA from 1 species